rnacentral:lncRNA from 1 species
UUAAGCCUAGUUACUCUAUGAUUGGACAAUGUUUAUCAAAUAAAAACGAAAGUUCUACGGUGUCGUUUUCCUAAAUUUUUUUGAACUAAACAAGGCCUAAGAUCUGUUCCAAAACCAAGUCAGGCAAAACUUUUUUUUGAUGAAAACCAACUUUAUUAUCAACAGCAAGAGGAUGUAAGGAGGGCUACAGAGUGCAGAUUUAUAGGGAGAAGUGCUUCUCUAAGAGAGCACUGAACAUGAGCUGCAUAAGAACAGGUACGGGUGAAAAUAGUAGAGGAAUGCAGCUGGGUAAAACUUUGUCUGGCUAGAGUAUCAGCAGUACAAUUUUGGUCCCUUUUGAUCCUAUGAACUCUAUGUGUAGCCGAGAGGUUGAUGAAGGUUUGGGUGUAAUAUUUGAUUCUCCAGUCGGGUGGGUCAUCUAGAUUGGGAUUAUUCAGGAAGUUCACCAGCUGUUGGAAGGAAUGAAACCUGCUGAAGAUCAAGAUGCUUAGUCACUGUUGGUGCAAGGGCAAGCGCUGCUGCUUCAGCCAUCAGCACUGAAGACGUUCCUUUCAUAGCCGCUUUGAUGUAGAUGGUUUGCACCAGGUGUACCUGAUUAUUGACAAUAAAAAUACCAAUACCUGCAUUUCUAGAUAAGUUAGAAGGAAGAUGGAAUGUAGAUGCAUCAGUGUAACAUCUAAUUUCAUUCCUGUCAGAGAAGCAGGCAGGUUAGGCUUCAAAGGCUGAACCUUCAAAGGACAUCAAGCUUGCCCAAGCAUUACCGGAUGCAAAAAAUAAAAAUAAAAAACUUUCCAAACUAAUAUUUAUCUAAUUUGAAUAUAUAGUUACUUGACUCUGAUAUAUGUAAUUAUGCACAGAUAUGUGAACAAAUCAUAUUACAGUAUUCUCAAUAAGAUCUGACUGUUGGAAACAAAAUGACUUCGAUUCUCUCUUUCAAUAACACA